GAUGAACGCUAGCUACAGGCUUAACACAUGCAAGUCGCGGGGCAGCAUGGGGGUUGCUUGCAAUCCCCGAUGGCGACCGGCGCACGGGUGAGUAACGCGUAUCCAACCUGCCCUUCACCACGGGAUAACCCGGCGAAAGUCGGACUAAUACCGUAUGUUGUCCAUUGACGGCAUCCGAUUUGGACGAAAGGUUUGGCGGUGAAGGAUGGGGAUGCGUCCGAUUAGCUGGGCGGCGGGGUGACGGCCCACCGUGGCGACGAUCGGUAGGGGUUCUGAGAGGAAGGUCCCCCACACUGGAACUGAGACACGGUCCAGACUCCUACGGGAGGCAGCAGUGAGGAAUAUUGGUCAAUGGGCGUAAGCCUGAACCAGCCAAGUAGCGUGCAGGAUGACGGCCCUAUGGGUUGUAAACUGCUUUUAUGCGGGGAUAAAGUGGCCCACGUGUGGGUUUUUGCAGGUACCGCAUGAAUAAGGACCGGCUAAUUCCGUG
rnacentral:rRNA from 1 species